AAUUGUCAUACGACUUGCAGUGAGCGUCAGGAGCACGUCCAGGAACUCCUCAGCAGCGCCUCCUUCAGCUCCACAGCCAGACGCCCUCAGACAGCAAAGCCUACCCCCGCGCCGCGCCCUGCCCGCCGCUGCGAUGCUCGCCCGCGCCCUGCUGCUGUGCGCGGUCCUGGCGCUCAGCCAUACAGCAAAUCCUUGCUGUUCCCACCCAUGUCAAAACCGAGGUGUAUGUAUGAGUGUGGGAUUUGACCAGUAUAAGUGCGAUUGUACCCGGACAGGAUUCUAUGGAGAAAACUGCUCAACACCGGAAUUUUUGACAAGAAUAAAAUUAUUUCUGAAACCCACUCCAAACACAGUGCACUACAUACUUACCCACUUCAAGGGAUUUUGGAACGUUGUGAAUAACAUUCCCUUCCUUCGAAAUGCAAUUAUGAGUUAUGUGUUGACAUAUCACAUUUGAUUGACAGUCCACCAACUUACAAUGCUGACUAUGGCUACAAAAGCUGGGAAGCCUUCUCUAACCUCUCCUAUUAUACUAGAGCCCUUCCUCCUGUGCCUGAUGAUUGCCCGACUCCCUUGG
rnacentral:lncRNA from 1 species